rnacentral:lncRNA from 1 species
GGAGUGUGGUGUGGUGUGCGCUGAAUGUGGUGGGUUGAAGUCAAUCGAAAUUUCUUGAAAUACAAUGUGUGUGUUUCUAUCAAUGCAACCAAAAUUGAAACUGAACCAGUACCGAACGGUCAACUUUGUUCCACCCUAUACCGCACCGAAUCCUAUUGAAAUUUUUUCGAUUUUGAUCCAACCCCAUAUAGUACCGAACUGAAUUGUGCAUUAUCCUAAUAUC